GUUCAAUGAAUUUCAUAACUACUGUUAGGUUAUCUUUUAAAACAAGUUUCUAUUAUACAAAACUCUGCAUAAUAUCAGUAACUUAUUAACUUUUAUCUAGGUUUAGAUAUUUGUACUAGAAAUCAGUGUUGUACUAUUGAAAGCUAGGAUUUAACCAUUGGAUGUGAUCAAAUAAUGCACUGUUCAAUUCUUGUAAAGGGAGACAAAUCAUCCUGUAUCGUUAUUUUGUGGAGCGCUGAAAAGUUUAAAUUAACAAUACUAUCCUUUGUCUUCUGUCUGUUUUACCCUGUGUAAUUUGUCCGAGUUCAGCUCAGUAAAUAAAACACCAAAGUC
rnacentral:misc_RNA from 1 species